ACGGGACGCGGACUGCCCUUCGGGCCAACAAUAGAGAUGCGGAACUUUCUCCGGGACGCCUAGAGAGGACGCGAGGAGCCCUCGCCAGCCGCCCCUGGAGGAGCAAAGCGGGUAGGCGCUAACGAGUCCGGCUUGUCCUUCACGCGGGGGAGGUGAGGUCCGCGUCCGCUCGCGGGUCGGGGCUACUUAAGUUCGGCGGGCCUCGGCGAGCUGCAACCGGGGCGGGCGUUCUGGGCCUGCAGCGGCCCCAGGGCCUGGACGACCAGGAGGACUAGAGGGACUGUGCAGCUGGGCCUGGGGUGGGGGGCAAAGAAGGCGCUGGGCGUGUUAAGCUUGCUCUCCCUAAGUCCGUUCUUUUCAUUCAGCCUUCAACCCCAAGGGCUAGUUGAGUUCUUGGAAAAGUAGGAUUUUUACUUCGCCCCCGUAUUCUGGUGUCGGAGGAGCUGGGUGAAUUGAAGAGCCAGUAUUCGGAGAGGCGAGCAGGAAAGGGAGUGUUUAGCUCCCACGAGGUAGUGGGGAGAUGGCUGUUCACCCUGCCACCUUGAUUUCCCUCUCUUUCUUUCCAAACACAGGAGACAGACGUAAAAGAAGUUCGUUCUUAGAGCAUGGGUCAUACUCACCCAGCGCAGAUAGGGCUUUCUAACAGUUACGUCAGGGUAAAGUUAAUCUAGGGUUAAAUGAUCUUACCUGGAUAGGAGACUUUCCACCAGUGUCUUAGGUGGUUCAGCUCGCGGGAGGUCUGUGGGUAUGGGAUGCUCUAAGCCAGCUCGGGGUGAUCUACUGAAUGGCUAUUAUCUAAGAUGCUAGAAAGGAGCAUAUCCUGCAGCUUCAGCCCCAGCUGCUGGAGCAGUUCCUGACCCUCCUACCUGAGGAGUCGAGACCAGAACAAAGCCUGGAGAAUGGAGCCAUGUUUAUACAACGAAGAAAUGCAUUUUCUUUGAAACUUGGAAUGCCGUAUUGAGAAGGAAUCUGAGUCUUAAUAUGGACCAAGCAGGAAGAAGUACUGUCAUCAGUUACUGAUUUUUGCCAUGAAUGUGAUGCAAGCAUGUAUGUGUCUGUAUGUCUGCCUAUGUAUUGAGUGGCAAACAUAAGGUCCCAUGACACCUUAAAGUCCUUAUGGUUUCUAUCCUGCCAUACUCCUGAGAUGAACUUCCUUCUUCACUGAAAAUAUUGAGAACUGCUAAGUCCCCAUUUUAUUCAUAUGGAAUUUCAAGAGGCCCCAAAUAGCCAAACCUUGAGAAAGAAGAACAAAGUAAGAGGAUUCACACUUCCCAAUUUCAAACCUUAUUACAAAGCUUCAGCAAUCAAAACGUGGUACUGGGGUAGGGAUAAACAUAUAGAUGGAUGGAAUAGAAUUGAGAGUCCAGAAAUAGUGCUAUACAUUGACAGGCAAUGAAUUUGCAACAAGGAUGCCGAAAAUCAUUCUAUGGAAGAAAAAUGGGCUUUUCAGCAAAUGGUGUUGGGACAACUAGGUAAUCCACAUGCACAAGAAUGAAGUUGAACCCUUAUAACAUAAAAAUUAAUUCAAAAUCAAUUAGACCUAAAUGUAAAGCUGAAACCAUAAAACUCUUAAAAGGAAACAUAUGUGUCAAUCUUCACCGCCAUGGAUUAGGUGUCACUUGCUUAAAUAUAACACCAAAAUCACAAGCAGCAAAAGAAAAAUUGGUAAAUUGAAUUUCCUCAAAAUAAAAACUUGUGCAUCAAAGGACGCAAUCAGUGAAGUGAAAGAAACCCACUGAAUGGGUGAAAAUAUUUGAAAAUCAUAUAUUGGAUAAGGACCUAGAACCAGAAUAUGUAAAGAACUCAACAACAAAGGUACAAACAACCCAAUUAAAAAAUGGGCAAAAGAUCUUAGUAGCCAUUUUUGCAAAGACAAUAUAGCAGUAGUUAAUAAGCACAUGAAAAGAUACUCAACAUCAUUAGGGAAAUGUGAAUCAUACCACAGUGAGAUACCACUUCACUCCACUAGGAUGGCCUCAAUUUAAAAAAAAAGGAAGGAAGAAAAGAAGAAAGAAAAGAGAAAAGGAAAGUAGGAAGGAGGUAACCAAGUGUUGGCAAGGAUGUGGAUAAAUUGGAACCCAUUUAUACGUUGCUGCUGGGAAUGUAAAUAGUACAGCUACUGCGGAAAACAGUUAAAAAGAGUUACUAUAUGCCCCAGCAAUUCCACUCAUAAUGAUAUUUACACAAGAGAGUUAAAGACACAUAUCCACACAAAAACUAGUGUCUGAAUGUUCAUAGCACCAUUUUUCAUAAUAGCCAACAAGUAGAAACAGUCCAAAUGUCCAUUAACUGAGAAAUGGACCAAAAUGUGUAGUGAGCCAUACAAUGAAAUCAUUAAACCAUAAAUAGGAAUGAAGUCCUGAUAUGUGCUACAACAUAAACUUCAAAAACAUUAUGCUACAAGAAAGAAGCCAGUCACAAAGACUACAUAUUGCAUGAUUGAUUCCAUUUAUAUGAAAGGUCCAGAAUAGGAAAAUCUAUGUAAAGAGAAAUAUAGAAAGAGAAAGUAUGUCAUCAAUGGUUGCUUAUGUUUGGGGGGGCACAGAGGUUUGGGGGUAAAAACUAAGGGUUGUAGGGCUUCUUUUAAGUUGAUGAAAAUGUCCUGAUUAUAUUAACAAAUGCACAACUCUGUGAGAAUAGUAUGCUUUUAUUGGGUGAAUUAUGCGAUGUGAACUGUAUCUCAAUAAAGCUGUUUUAAAAGGAUUA